rnacentral:rRNA from 1 species
UACGGGGGGGGCAAGCGUUGUUCGGAAUUACUGGGCGUAAAGGGCUCGUAGGCGGCCUUCUAAGUCAGACGUGAAAUCCCUCGGCUUAACCGGGGAACUGCGUCUGAUACUGGAGGGCUUGAAUUCGGGAGAGGGAUGUGGAAUUCCAGGUGUAGCGGUGAAAUGCGUAGAUAUCUGGAGGAACACCGGUGGCGAAGGCGGCAUCCUGGACCGAGAUUGACGCUGAGGCGCGAAAGCUAGGGGAGCAAACGGG